rnacentral:lncRNA from 1 species
AAAAAUCCAUCGGAAAAGGUUGUUUUAAUGUUGAAAAAUCUUUUAAUUGAUCAUCUCAUUAUCAAGACAUGUAAAUAUGGAAGAAAAAAUAAAGAUUUUGAGUCCCAGAAAUAAUGCUUCUUGCAACGCAUUAUCUAGACCGUUCAUUUUAUUACGAAGAAAAUAGAUUUUCAAAUAAUCCUAAGAAUUUUUUACAUCAAAUUUACAUGUUAUGAUAAAAUUUGGAGGUGUUCCUUAAUUGGAUUGUUGAAGGUUACACCUUAUACAAACCACACCCCUUUUUUAAAAUCUUGUUUAAUUUUAAUUUAAACAUAUUUUUAAUUUUAUUGUAAUUUUUUUUAAAACGCUUCUUUUGCCUAAUCGAUACCUGUUCAACUCGGGCCAAACUUAGAAUGAGUAGAGGAACUCUUAGGUAGCUUUGGA